CCAUGCCGCGUGCGGGAAGAAGGCCUUCGGGUUGUAAACCGCUUUUGUCAGGGAGAAAAGGUUCUGGCUAAUACCUGGGACUCAUGACGGUACCUGAAGAUAAGCACCGGCUAACUACGUGCCAGCAGCCGCGGUAAUACGUAGGGUGCAAGCGUUAAUCGGAAUUACUGGGCGUAAAGCGUGCGCAGGCGGUUAUGCAAGACAGAGGUGAAAUCCCCGGGCUCAACCUGGGAACUGCCUUUGUGACUGCAUGGCUAGAGUACGGUAGAGGGGGAUGGAAUUCCGCGUGUAGCAGUGAAAUGCGUAGAUAUGCGGAGGAACACCGAUGGCGAAGGCAAUCCCCUGGACCUGUACUGACGCUCAUGCACGAAAGCGUGGGGAGCAAACAGGAUUAGAUACCCUGGUAGUCCACGCCCUAAACGAUGUCAACUGGUUGUUGGGAGGGUUUCUUCUCAGUAACGUAGCUAACGCGUGAAGUUGACCGCCUGGGGAGUACGGCCGCAAGGUUG
rnacentral:rRNA from 1 species